UUGAAAGAAGCCAAAUAGCGGCCUGUUACUGUUAAUAACAUAAAUGAAUUUUAUAUUCCUUUCAAA
rnacentral:tRNA from 1 species